GGGGUUGUAGCUCAGUGGUAGACCACUUGUCUCGCAUGCAUGAGGCACUGGGUUCAAUCCUCAGCACCACA
rnacentral:tRNA from 1 species